rnacentral:lncRNA from 1 species
GCAGUUCCAGCCCGAGAUACCCAUUUCCUGCUGUGUGUACAAGAAGGAGUCCACGUCUGGGGCAUGAAAUGUGGCAGUACUGACCGAGGGACUAUCCAAAUCCAUCUGGAGGAAUGAAAUCCCUGGGUAACUUACAGCUCAGAAGUCUUCUUAUGCAGGAGCCUGAAGAAAGCCGCAGAUCUUCCUUUGGAUUUUCAGAAUGGGAAGGACACAAGGCUUUGGGUGAUGUGGCUGAACACUGAGUAGCAACUAAAGAAUGUCUGUGACAAUCAAAAAGAAUGCUGUCCUUGUUCCAUGGCCCUCACGGACCUAGAUAAUCACCCCCACCUCCUACCCCCAGCUCUGAAAUUCCCGCAAAGAUAAAACGAGUUGAAAUUGUUUUGACACUGUUCAUUCAUCUGUAUGAGCGUGGAACGAGAAAGUUCGACAGGAAAAUACUUCAGAGACAUAUGAUAAACUAAUACUACCCAGAUGAAUGCAAACGCUACCUGGAAUAUAGAUGACGGUGGGUAAAUUGCUUCAAAUGAGCCUUAUUGAUUCCACUCUCUGUUGAUGGGGCAUAUCUGAAGGAGGAAGUUUCAUUUAAACACUUGGGCACUGCAGUAAUUAAAUGAACUCUGGGACAGUUUACGUAUUGGACUGGCUCUGAUUCUUUAGGAGCUGGUGACUAUCUCUCUUAAACAUGAAGCAUGUUAAUAGCCAAGCAGCU